rnacentral:rRNA from 1 species
GACAGAGGGUGCAAACGUUGUUCGGAAUUACUGGGCGUAAAGCGCGUGUAGGCGGCUUGGCAAGUCGGGUGUGAAAGCCCUGGGCUCAACCUAGGAAGUGCACUCGAAACUGCCUCGCUUGAAUGCCGGAGAGGAAAGCGGAAUUCUCGGUGUAGAGGUGAAAUUCGUAGAUAUCGAGAGGAACACCGGUGGCGAAGGCGGCUUUCUGGACGGUGAUUGACGCUGAGGCGCGAAAGCCAGGGGAGCGAACGGG